UACGAAGGUCCCGAGCGUUGUUCGGAAUCACUGGGCGUAAAGGGAGCGUAGGCGGCGUGGUAAGUCAGAUGUGAAAUCCCGGGGCUCAACCCCGGAACUGCAUCCGAUACUGCCGUGCUAGAGGAAUGGAGAGGUAGCUGGAAUUCUUGGUGUAGCAGUGAAAUGCGUGGAUAUCAAGAGGAACACUCGUGGCGAAAGCGAGCUACUGGACAUUUUCUGACGCUGAGGCUCGAAGGCCAGGGUAGCGAAAGGG
rnacentral:rRNA from 1 species